AUUGAACGCUGGCGGCAUGCCUUACACAUGCAAGUCGAACGGCAGCACGGGAGCAAUCCUGGUGGCGAGUGGCGAACGGGUGAGUAAUAUAUCGGAACGUGCCCAGUCGUGGGGAUAACGUAGCGAAAGCUACGCUAAUACCGCAUACGAUCUAUGGAUGAAAGCGGGGGAUCGCAAGACCUCGCGCGAUUGGAGCGGCCGAUAUCAGAUUAGGUAGUUGGUGAGGUAAAGGCUCACCAAGCCGACGAUCUGUAGCUGGUCUGAGAGGACGACCAGCCACACUGGGACUGAGACGCGGCCCAGACUCCUACGGGAGGCAGCAGUGGGGAAUUUUGGACAAUGGGCGCAAGCCUGAUCCAGCAAUGCCGCGUGCAGGAUG
rnacentral:rRNA from 1 species